GUAACGGCGAGUGAAGCGGCAACAGCUCAAAUUUGAAAUCUGGCCUCUUCGGGGUCCGAGUUGUAAUUUGUAGAGGGUGUUUCGGGCGCGAUGCCGGUCUAAGUUCUUUGGAACAGGACGUCGUAGAGGGUGAGAAUCCCGUAUGCGACCGGCGAUCAAGCCUGUGUGAAGCCCCUUCGACGAGUCGAGUUGUUUGGGAAUGCAGCUCAAAAUGGGUGGUAAAUUUCAUCUAAAGCUAAAUAUUGGCCAGAGACCGAUAGCGGACAAGUAGAGUGAUCGAAAGAUGAAAAGCACUUUGGAAAGAGAGUCAAACAGUACGUGAAAUUGUUGAAAGGGAAGCGCUUGCAAUCAGACCGGUCCGGAGGCGAUCAGCCGCUGCUCGUCAGCGGUGCACUCGCCUGCGAUCCGGCCAGCAUCGGUUUGGGCGGUGGGAUAAAAGUCCCGGGAAUGUAGCUUCUUUCGGGGAGUCUUAUAGCCCGGGUCGCAAUGCC
rnacentral:rRNA from 1 species